rnacentral:lncRNA from 1 species
GGUCCAAGGCAGGCAGGAGCCUUUCCGGUUUGGUCAUGGCCACCCUCAAGGUCACACCAGGUUUCAGAGGGCCCUCCCCGAGGGUGGCGAGCUCCAUUCGACCCACACCUGUAGCAGUUCUUGGCAGAAAGCUCGCACUGAGCGCAGCGAGGCAAGGUCCAGCUCCUUAACGACCAGCUGGCCAUCGGUGCCGUCGGGCCCGGCGCCCCCAGCCUGACAGAGCUCCUGCCUGAGCUGACCGGCCGCCUCCUCUGCUCGAGCGCGGUCCCGACAUCCCAUGAUGACCCGCGCCCCCAGGCGGAGCAGCUCCGCCGCGGUGGCACGGCCCAGGCCGCUGUUUGCUCCGGUGAUCAGCACUGUCUUCCCGUGCAUGAGGCCCGGGUCCCCGCCUCCCUGCUGCCGCUGGUUUCUUGGCCCAGAGAACCGCCGGGCCGCCAGCCACAGCGCCCCGCCCAGUGCGGCCAGGAGCGCUGCGGCCACACUAGCCACUGCCAUAACCUUCCGGGCCCGGUGCACUGGGCCUAGCGCACAGGUUCCGGAGUGCUAUGGGGCCACCUACACGCGAAGGACUCUGGGGCGCCGCCUGCUGUCCUGGGCUACUGCGCGCGGGGCUUUCUGGGACUUGUAGUUUUGCUCCUAAGGCUGACUUGACUUAGCGUUCAGGAAGUACACAUGAAAGCCCCAGCGGAUUUAUUUAGAAGUGGACAGUGUUAGAAUUGGUUAUAUGCCUAUAGACAAAAUGACAUUUCUUGGUAAAAUUCUUGCCACACAAGGAUAACAAAAGACACAGCCCCAGUUAUCAGCAGUAUUAUUGAUCAGACUCAUUCCACCCUGAAUAUACCUUUUCUAGGUGAUGCUGCAUAUAGAGAUUCAUUCAUUUGACUAACACUAAAAGUGAGCAAUGCUUUUUGAAAAUUAAUUAAGCUUCUUGUGAAACAACUUAAGUGUCAAAGUUCUAAACUUGUCUAAAGAGCCACCCAUUACAACUUAUAGAUAGAUGCAAUGAUAUCCAACAUCCUUAGCUUUAAAAAAGUAGAAUGCUUGACUGUAGCUUGAAAGUUCAAAAUUUUUUCC